UAAAAUUACCCGAAAGUGUUGUCAUUGUUAAAUAAAUUACGGAUGUGCGUCUUUGCGUCAAGGUCGUGAUUCUACAUAACAACAUCCGCUUGACCUCGCAAUGCCAAGAAGAAGAAAGGCGUGGAACAUUUGCUUAAGCCUGUCAAGAUCUUCAGCAGAUGUUUGAGCAAAAAGUCAUCAUCCUCUUCGUCACUCUUCAUCCGUAUUUGGGGUAACAAGCACCUGCUUCCCACAAGAGACUGGACAGCUGAUGUCAGACCUGCACCUUCCUUGAACAUGUUGGUAUCUUACUCUGUAUUUGUUCACGGUGGUCACCCCAGGGUCUCAGGACUCAAAUUGAGUGCUCUAUGGAUUAAACAGAAAAUGCAGUAUAAACAAGUGUUAUGUUGUCUUGAACAUGUUGGUAACUUACUCUGUAUUUGUUCACGGUGGUCACCCCAGGGUCUCAGGACUCAAAACGAGUGCUCUAUGGAUUGAACAUAAAAUGUAGUAUAAACAAGUGUUAUGUUUUUAAAUGCCACUAAUAAUGUGUUUCUGUUUUCUUUCUCAUUAUGCUAACAAACGCUCUUUUACCCCUCAUGUUAGGUAGAUCAACACUCCAACCAUCUGCAUUAGGGACUGAAUAAAGGAUGCCCUCUGUAGCUGGGAAUGUUAGAUCAGGCGGAUCAACAUUCCAUCCAUCUGCAUUAGGAUCUACCUUAGAGACACUCACUGGAGCUGUAAAUGGGAAGCAGGUCACUUACUUUGCAUUCGUCCUUGGUGGUCACCCAAGGGUCUCUAGAGUGAAAAUUACUCAAUCUAUGGAUUAAACAGAAAAUUUAGUUGUAUGAAGUGCAAUUUGGGACAUUCUUCCAGUUGUCGGCAACUUUGUGAAAAAGGCUGGAAACUUAAAUGCAGAAUUCUGGCCUGGUGUUUGGUCUGUGCUGUCUUUGGCUCUUGCAUCUCCAUCAUCCUGACCCUCUUUAGCAGCCUGUCCAUGUAUUUAUUUGGAGGCCACCAUGAGCACCCAUCUGCAUAAUAUGACUUUGUUACUCAGAUGUCCAUGCGCUCCUACAAAUUCUACAUUUUUUGUAAAGCUGCAACAAGUUGAAACCCUAUAAUUAUUAACGUUUGAUUUUGAACUAUGUAAAUCAAAUACAUGAAUAAGUAACAAAAGCAGAAAUUUAUUAAGAUAUUACCUUUUUGUUGCUUGUUUACUGAUCUAUCAAUCCUUUUGCAUUUUCAUAAUUGUUCAUCAUAACUUGGAAUACAGUGGAUGUGUGGCUGCAGAUAACUUUCUGAAGUCAAUUUAAAAAGACAAAAGUUAAUAAAUGCUGAAUUGGUCAAAUAUA